UUUAGUCUUUUCAGAGGAACCUGUCCCAUAAUCGAUAAUCCACGUAGUAUCUUACUUAAUUUUGUUUUCAACUUGUAUACCGCCGUCGUCAGAAUGUCUUUGGAGAGAUUUAAUUUUCUAAAAUUUUUAUUAAAAAUGAUGUCAGGUCAAGGUGCAGUUUAUGGUUAAGUGGAGAUGGGUUACAAUAAAUUUAUUUAUACGGAUUAAUUGGCUGAAAUCUAUUAUGAAGGUGGAUUUGAUAGUAAUUUUAUUUAUAAAGUUGGGUUGACUUUAGCUCUAAAACAUGCACACAUCGCCCGUCGCUCUCGUUUUUUUAAGGUGAGAUAAGUCGUAACAUAGUAG
rnacentral:rRNA from 1 species